UUGACACCGCCGUUUUUUUGACCUAGAUUCCUCGGUAAGGGUGAGGGAGGCGAACCUCCCUCCUGCGUUUUCGCUGUUAAUAUGCUGGGUAGGCGAUGAUUAACAGGAUAAGCAGCAUGAUGACAUGACUCAUCAUCGUCCCUUUCCUUCU
rnacentral:sRNA from 1 species